rnacentral:rRNA from 1 species
GACGAACGCUGGCGGCGUGCUUAACACAUGCAAGUCGAACGGUGAAGCGCCUUCCUUUUUGGUGGGUGUGGAUGAGUGGCGAACGGGUGAGUAACACGUGAGUAACCUGCCCCCUUCUUCUGGAUAACCGCAUGAAAGUGUGGCUAAUACGGGAUAUUCUGGGUCUGUCGCAUGAUGGGUCUGGGAAAGAUAUUGUUUCGGUGGGGGAUGGGCUCGCGGCCUAUCAGCUUGUUGGUGGGGUGAUGGCCUACCAAGGCGGUGACGGGUAGCCGGCCUGAGAGGGUGGACGGUCACACUGGGACUGAGCCACGGCCCAGACUCCUACGGGAGGAAGCAGUGGGGAAUAUUGCACAAUGGGCGCAAGCCUGAUGCAGCGACGCCGCGUGAGGGAUGGAGGCCUUCGGGUUGUGAACCUCUUUCGCCAGUGAAGCAGGCCUGCCUCGUUUGUGGGUGGGUUGACGGUAGCUGGAUAAGAAGCGCCGGCUAACUACGU